UACGAAGGGGGCUAGCGUUGUUCGGAAUUACUGGGCGUAAAGCGUGCGCAGGCGGCUUCUUAAGUCAGGGGUGAAAGCCCAGAGCUCAACUCUGGAAUUGCCUUUGAGACUGAGUGGCUUGAGUACGGGAGAGGUGAGUGGAAUUCCCAGUGUAGAGGUGAAAUUCGUAGAUAUUGGGAAGAACACCGGUGGCGAAGGCGGCUCACUGGCCCGUAACUGACGCUCAUGCACGACAGCGUGGGGAUCAAACAGG
rnacentral:rRNA from 1 species